rnacentral:rRNA from 1 species
GUAUGGUGCAAGCGUUAUCCGGAUUUACUGGGUGUAAAGGGAGCGUAGACGGAUGGGCAAGUCUGAUGUGAAAACCCGGGGCUCAACCCCGGGACUGCAUUGGAAACUGUUCAUCUAGAGUGCUGGAGAGGUAAGUGGAAUUCCUGGUGUAGCGGUGAAAUGCGUAGAUAUUAGGAGGAACACCAGUGGCGAAGGCGGCUUACUGGACAGUAACUGACGUUGAGGCUCGAAAGCGUGGGGAGCAAACAGGAUUAGAUACCCUGGUAGUCCACGCCGUAAACGAUGACUACUAGGUGUCGGGUGGCAAAGCCAUUCGGUGCCGCAGCAAACGCAAUAAGUAGUCCACCUGGGGAGUACGUUCGCAAGAAUG